CCUACGGGGGGCAGCAGUAGGGAAUCUUCCACAAUGGACGAAAGUCUGAUGGAGCAACGCCGCGUGAGUGAAGAAGGGUUUCGGCUCGUAAAGCUCUGUUGGUAGUGAAGAAAGAUAGAGGUAGUAACUGGCCUUUAUUUGACGGUAAUUACUUAGAAAGUCACGGCUAACUACGUGCCAGCAGCCGCGGUAAUACGUAGGUGGCAAGCGUUGUCCGGAUUUAUUGGGCGUAAAGCGAGUGCAGGCGGGUCAAUAAGGCUUAUGGGAAAAGCUUUGGGUCAACCGGAGG
rnacentral:rRNA from 1 species